UGUGGGAGGGGGCUUGCUCCCGAUAGCGGUGUGUCAGCCAGCCUAUUCAAAGCUGAUUCACCGCCAUCGGGAGCAAGCCCCCUCCCACA
rnacentral:misc_RNA from 1 species